rnacentral:rRNA from 1 species
AACGAACGCUGGCGGCGUGCUUAACACAUGCAAGUCGAACGGGAAGUCCCGGUUUUGUUGGGCAGCUGUGCGUACCGACUGGUAAGCAACACGUGAGUUACGUACCCCUGCCUUUGAGGGGACCUAAGGACACUUAAGCUCAUCCCACAAAAGAUCUAUCGCCUUUGGGUGGGGCCGCGUUGGAUUAGCUAGUUGGGAGGGUAAAAGCCUAUCAAUGCGACGUUCCAUAGCUGGUCUGUGAGGAUGAUCUGCCACACUGGGACUGAGACACGGGCCAGACUCCUACGGGAGGCAGCAGUGGGGAAUAUUGGACAAUGGGCGAAAGCCUGAUCCAGCAAUGCCGCGUGAGUGAUGAAGGCCUUAGGGUUGUAAAGCUCUUUUACCCGGGAUGAUAAUGACAGUACCGGGAGAAUAAGCUCCGGCUAACUCCGUG